rnacentral:rRNA from 1 species
GACGAACGCUGGCGGCGUGCUUAACACAUGCAAGUCGAACGGUGACGAUCAAGCUUGCUUGGUCUGAUCAGUGGCGAACGGGUGAGUAACACGUGAGCAACCUGCCCCAGACUCUGGGAUAACCCCGGGAAACCGGAGCUAAUACCGGAUAUGACACUCGCACGCAUGUGCUGGGUGUGGAAAGUUUUUCGGUCUGGGAUGGGCUCGCGGCCUAUCAGCUUGUUGGUGAGGUAGUGGCUCACCAAGGCGACGACGGGUAGCCGGCCUGAGAGGGCGACCGGCCACACUGGGACUGAGACACGGCCCAGACUCCUACGGGAGGCAGCAGUGGGGAAUAUUGCACAAUGGGCGAAAGCCUGAUGCAGCGACGCCGCGUGAGGGAUGACGGCCUUCGGGUUGUAAACCUCUUUCAGCAGGGAAGAAGCGCAAGUGACGGU